CAGCACCUCAAGUGGUCAGGAUGAUUAUUGGGCCUAAAGCAUCCGUAGCCGGCGCUGUAAGUUUUCGGUUAAAUCUGUACGCUCAACGUACAGGCUGCCGGGAAUACUGCAGCGCUAGGGAGUGGGAGAGGUAGACGGUACUCGGUAGGAAGGGGUAAAAUCCUUCGAUCUAUUGAUGACCACCUGUGGCGAAGGCGGUCUACCAGAACACGUCCGACGGUGAGGGAUGAAAGCUGGGGGAACAAACCGGAUUAGAUACCCGAGUAGUCC
rnacentral:rRNA from 1 species